rnacentral:lncRNA from 1 species
GGGAACCAGCCACCAACAUCUCUUAUCUGGACUAUUGUAAAAGAAAAGUCUCCUCCUAACUGGUGUCCCUCCUUCAGCCUUUGUACCUUUUAGCCUACCGGCAACAUAGCAGCCAAAGUGAUCUUUUUUAAACAAAAGUCACUGCAAAAUUUUUCAAUUUUUUUGUAUGUUUGAAAUUUUUCAUCAUAAAAUUUGGAAAAAAUAAAACUCAGAUUACAUCACUCCUGUCAAAACCCUCCAAUCCUGUAUACUUCAUUCAGUCAGAGUAAAAUCUAAAGUCUUUACAUUAACUAGGCCCUAAAAUUAAGCUCCCUCUUACCUCUCUGACCUCAUCUCUCUUCCUCAUCUCUCACCGCUCCUUCCUUCCAGGCACGCAGGCCUCCUUCCCGUACCUUCCCAUGCAGCCAUGCUCCAUCCCCGCGGCCUCUGCGCUGACCCCUCAACAGCCAGGGGGUGCUCUUCCCCGGACUGCACAGCAUUCACCCUCACCUUCUUUCAGGCUUUGCUGAAAGGUCACUUUCUCCAUGAAGGGGUUUUCAUGUAACUUACCAACCACUAUCCUAACUCCUUCUCUAUUUUAUUUUUCCCACAGCAUUUAGCACUAUCUUCUACACUAUGAAGUUAUCAGUUCAAAGGAGACAAGUUAAAUCUACUCCAAGGUUCACCUCUUUGUUCUAAAACGCAAUUACCGUGGGCUUCUACUUUGUUGUCAACCCAGUGGACAUAUGUUCUUCCUUAAAAUGAAAACAGAUGAUUAAGCAAAACUAUAUGACUUUUU